AAUUCUCCGUCAAAGCAUAGACAACGGCUGUUCUACAUGGAGCAUACACCAAAAAUGAGCUGGGCCGGUCAUCAUACCAUCCAUCCUGCAAAAGUAAAAUAUUCUGCCCUGUGAUCAAUUCUACCAAAGCCACCAAAUAGUUUAUCAUCUGAAUCCAAGACCACCUGGAAGAAAUUGUAUAAACACAAAUGAGUCCAUAUGGAUUAGUGAUUGGAAAGCAUAA